GGAAGUAAAAGUCGUACAAGGUUUCCGUAGGUGAACCUGCGGAAGGAUCAUUAACACGUUCUAAACGUAUCAACCAAACCGCGAACUCUGACGUUAGCGGCACAUCAGCAAGGGCUUUUGGAGUAGGUACGUCCUUUCCAAAGCCCUUGAGGGUGUGCUGCGCCUGAGCUUGUUAGGGGAAAGUGGCAUUUCUCUCUUCACCGGGAAAAAUGCAUUACUUCCUUUAGCAUUUGCUCACAUUAACCCAAACCCAUUUUUUUAUUAUUUCUUUCUGUUCUAAAGGACGUGGCGUUUCACCGCUAUUGCCUUUUAUUACAAACUUGUACAACUCUUAGCAACGGAUGUCUUGGUUUCC
rnacentral:misc_RNA from 1 species